UUGAACGCUGGCGGCAGGCCUAACACAUGCAAGUCGAGCGGUAGCACAGAGAGCUUGCUCUCGGGUGACGAGCGGCGGACGGGUGAGUAAUGUCUGGGAAACUGCCUGAUGGAGGGGGAUAACUACUGGAAACGGUAGCUAAUACCGCAUAAUGUCGCAAGACCAAAGUGGGGGACCUUCGGGCCUCAUGCCAUCAGAUGUGCCCAGAUGGGAUUAGCUAGUAGGUGGGGUAACGGCUCACCUAGGCGACGAUCCCUAGCUGGUCUGAGAGGAUGACCAGCCACACUGGAACUGAGACACGGUCCAGACUCCUACGGGAGGCAGCAGUGGGGAAUAUUGCACAAUGGGCGCAAGCCUGAUGCAGCCAUGCCGCGUGUGUGGAGAAGGCCUUCGGGUUGUAAAGCACUUUCAGCGGGGAGGAAGGCGUUAAGGUUAAUAACCUUGGCGAUUGACGUUACCCGCAGAAGAAGCACCGGCUAACUCCGUGCCAGCAGCCGCGGUAAUACGGAGGGUGCAAGCGUUAAUCGGAAUUACUGGGCGUAAAGCGCACGCAGGCGGUCUGUCAAGUCGGAUGUGAAAUCCCCGGGCUCAACCUGGGAACUGCAUUCGAAACUGGCAGGCUAGAGUCUUGUAGAGGGGGGUAGAAUUCCAGGUGUAGCGGUGAAAUGCGUAGAGAUCUGGAGGAAUACCGGUGGCGAAGGCGGCCCCCUGGACAAAGACUGACGCUCAGGUGCGAAAGCGUGGGGAGCAAACAGGAUUAGAUACCCUGGUAGUCCACGCCGUAAACGAUGUCGAUUUGGAGGUUGUGCCCUUGAGGCGUGGCUUCCGGAGCUAACGCGUUAAAUCGACCGCCUGGGGAGUACGGCCGCAAGGUUAAAACUCAAAUGAAUUGACGGGGGCCCGCACAAGCGGUGGAGCAUGUGGUUUAAUUCGAUGCAACGCGAAGAACCUUACCUGGUCUUGACAUCCACAGAACUUUCCAGAGAUGGAUUGGUGCCUUCGGGAACUGUGAGACAGGUGCUGCAUGGCUGUCGUCAGCUCGUGUUGUGAAAUGUUGGGUUAAGUCCCGCAACGAGCGCAACCCUUAUCCUUUGUUGCCAGCGGUUCGGCCGGGAACUCAAAGGAGACUGCCAGUGAUAAACUGGAGGAAGGUGGGGAUGACGUCAAGUCAUCAUGGCCCUUACGACCAGGGCUACACACGUGCUACAAUGGCAUAUACAAAGAGAAGCGACCUCGCGAGAGCAAGCGGACCUCAUAAAGUAUGUCGUAGUCCGGAUUGGAGUCUGCAACUCGACUCCAUGAAGUCGGAAUCGCUAGUAAUCGUAGAUCAGAAUGCUACGGUGAAUACGUUCCCGGGCCUUGUACACACCGCCCGUCACACCAUGGGAGUGGGUUGCAAAAGAAGUAGGUAGCUUAACCUUCGGGAGGGCGCUUACCACUUUGUGAUUCAUGACUGGGGUG
rnacentral:rRNA from 1 species